rnacentral:rRNA from 1 species
UACGUAGGGUGCAAGCGUUAAUCGGAAUUACCGGGCGUAAAGCGUGCGCAGGCGGUUAUGCAAGACAGAUGUGAAAUCCCCGGGCUCAACCUGGGAACUGCAUUUGUGACUGCAUGGCUAGAGUACGGUAGAGGGGGAUGGAAUUCCGCGUGUAGCAGUGAAAUGCGUAGAUAUGACUCGGAAGGCCAAAGGCGAAGGCAGGUUACUGGUACGCAACUGACGCUGAGGCACGAAAGCGUGGGGAGCAAACAGG